rnacentral:rRNA from 1 species
AAGAAAGUCCCCAAGAUCAACACCAAGGAUGCUGAGGGGCAGUCUGCUCCGGCAAGCCUUAUGGUUUGUUCCGUCGAAGCAGACGCUCCCGACAAGUUUUGCUCCGGCAAGCUUGCCGGGGAACAUCAAGCUCCGGCAGGGCCGCAAGUCCUUGCCGUAGAAGCGGAUGUUCCCGCAGCAGCAGAUGUGCCUUUAGUCCUUGUUGUCGAGCCACAAGCUCCAGCAUGGGCACAACAAAUUGUCCAUUUCCUUCAGACAGGAGAACUUCCCGAAGAGCAAGAAGAAGCGGAAAAAGUA